GCCGGGCACGGUGGCACAUGCCUGUAGUCCCAGCUACUCAGGAGGCUGAGGCUGGAGGAUCUCUUGAGUCCAGGAGUUCUGGGCUGUAGUGCGCCAUGCUGAUGGGAUGUCUGCACUAAGUUCAGCAUCAAUAUGGUGACCCCCCCGGGAGCAGGGGACCACCAGGUUGCCUAAGGAGGGGUGAACCGGUCCAGGUCAGAAACGGAGCGGGUCAAAACUCCUGUGCUGAUCAGUAGUGGGAUCGCACCUGUGAAUAGCCACUGCAUUCCAGCCUGGGCAACAUAGCGAGACCCUGUCUCU
rnacentral:SRP_RNA from 1 species